rnacentral:rRNA from 1 species
GUGGGGGAUAUUGCACAAUGGGGGAAACCCUGAUGCAGCGACGCCGCGUGGAGGAAGAAGGUUUUCGGAUUGUAAACUCCUGUCGUUAGGGACGAUAAUGACGGUACCUAACAAGAAAGCACCGGCUAACUACGUGCCAGCAGCCGCGGUAAAACGUAGGGGGCAAGCGUUGUCCGGAAUUACUGGGUGUAAAGGGAGCGCAGGCGGGAAGACAAGUUGGAAGUGAAAACCAUGGGCUCAACCCAUGAAUUGCUUUCAAAACUGUUUUUCUUGAGUAGUGCAGAGGUAGAUGGAAUUCCCGGUGUAGCGGUGGAAUGCGUAGAUAUCGGGAGGAACACCAGUGGCGAAGGCGGUCUACUGGGCACCAACUGACGCUGAGGCUCGAAAGCAUGGGUAGCAAACAGGAUUAGAUACCCGUGUAGUCC